rnacentral:rRNA from 1 species
GAUGAACGCUAGCGGCAUGCUUAACACAUGCAAGUCGAGGGGAAACGCCAUCGCAAGCUUGCUGUUGAUGGGCGUCGACCGGCGCACGGGGGAGUAACGCGUAUCCAAGCUGCCCACCACUUGGUGAUAACCUUGCGAAAUUAAGACUAAGACCCAAUGUUAUCUCUAGAAGACAUCGGAAAGGGAUUAAAGAUGUAUCGGUGAUGGAUGGGGAUGCGUCUGAUUAGCUUGUUGGCGGGGUAACGGCCCACCAAGGCAACGAUCAGUAGGGGGUCUGAGAGGAGGCUCCCCCACAGGGGAACUGAGACACCGUCCACACCUAUACGGGAGGGCGCAGUGAGGAAUAUUGGACAAUGGACGAGAGUCUUACACAGCCAAGUCGCGUGCAGGAAGACGGCGCUAUGGGUUGUAAUCUGCUUUUAGAAGAGCAUAAAGUGAGUAUCGGGAGACUUUUUGAAUGUACCUGAUGAAUAAGCACCGGCUAAUUACGUG